UACGGGGGGUGCGAGCGUUGUCCGGAAUCACUGGGCGUAAAGAGCGCGUAGGCGGCCAGAUAAGUCCGGUGUGAAAGUCACAGGCUCAACCUGUGAAUGCCGCUGGAAACUGUCUGGCUAGAGUCCGGGAGGGGCGAGUGGAAUUCCUGGUGUAGCGGUGAAAUGCGCAGAUAUCAGGAGGAACACCAAUGGCGAAGGCAGCUCGCUGGAACGGUACUGACGCUGAGGCGCGAAAGCGUGGGGGAGCAAACAGG
rnacentral:rRNA from 1 species